AUCCUUCUAAGUAGGUCCGCGUGGCGCCGCGGUGGCCCUGGCUCCACGACGCCGGCCUCGUUGUCUUCCUCUUGGCCUUGCUCUUGUCCCAGCCCCAGGUCUCCGUCCCUCCAUGUGCCUCAAACAGCUAGGAGCUUGGGUCAUGUAGGUGCACGAGAUGGCGAGGCUCUGCCCCUACGGAGAGCAGGAAACAGAAUGAACACGGAAUGAGAACCACCACCCCCAAGAAUUGUACAGCCAUCAGGUGUCCCAGUGCCUGGAUUUGCCCUGUCGGGCUAUGUACCUGUUGGAUGGAAAAAUGCAACUAUGUAAAAUUCUAACACAGGAGGAUCUGACCCAGGGAAUUGGGUAGAAGGACCCACGGCUGUGCCCUUGAGCCCAGAGCGCUCUGACAAGCACCUCGGAGGCUCGGCACCUGUCAACAGCUACCAGAAUGCAUCCCGGGGCCCUGCUCAGCCCCACGUGUUCCCUCCGCCGGCCGUCUC